AACCCUAAGGGGUGAGACCUGGAACUGCUUGGGGCUGUGAGCAGAGGAGACACGGGAGCACCAGCAGAGAAUCCCAGGCUGUUCAUGCUGUGAGUGGGUGUGGUUUGAUGCUUCCUCUGCUGGUUUCACUGGGUCAGAGAUACACUUUGCAAUGAACAGGCAGGAAGUUUUCCUCCCUUUUGAAGAGGACAUCUGGGGAAAAGAAGCCCUGCCUUCUCCAGGCUCCAGGGGAGCAUACUUGAGUGACCCUUAGAGAGCUCCCCUAAUGCCCCCACCACCCUCCACCCUCCGGGGCUGGGCUUUCUUUCCUCUUCAGUGGGUGGGGGUUUUGCACUGUUUGGCCAUCACUGGUUUCUUAUUUCACAUAUAUUAAUUAAUUGAUCCUAGUGCUUGACCUGCUUUCUUGGCUGCUGCUGCUGUGGGCUGAGCUCGUGCUUUGGUGGACACUAAACACAGGACCUGGCUCUGGACCAGCAGUGGUCUGUGCAGAACCCAUCACUUGAGGUUUAUCACCAGCAGUCACAUUGGGAUGUCCUUCACCAGCAGCACCUAAGGAGUCUGUGCAGUAACAGUAGCAGCACCAGGACAGAACACGCUGGAUAGACACAACUUGUUUCUCUCCCCAGAGCUCCAGAUGACAAAAAUAACACAAAAUGGUGACAAAUCUCCUAUUGUUUUAUUUCAUGAUAAUUGUUUUCUCCCUCCUUUCUCUUCCCCACUGAGGGACGUUUUGGCAGUUUGUGAACAUCCCCCUGUUCAUAUACACUGAAUGUUACUACAGCCAUUUCUUUCAUGUGACAGCUUGAAAAAGGGAUGUGAAAGCUUUCCUUCUUGUCUUCCUGGCCUUUCCCUCCAUCAUCUGACCCUCAUGAAUGCUCUCCAGCAAACAGUUUGCCUUUCUUGCAUGGUAGAAUCUGGAAAUAAUUGCCUGCCACAGCACUUACUUCUAUCAGUGAAUAAUCUUGUGUAAUUGUGCUGUGGUCUUUGCUCCACAGUUCAUUUUCUUAGCUCAGAAAUGUGCUUUUAUUUUUUUUUAACUAUUGCAUAUAUUCUGUUUAUCCCCACAAUUCAUUGUUACCAGUAAAGUAGGAAAAUAAGGGAUAAUCAUCACUUAAAUGCUUUAAAACCAAUGCCAUAUGUAGAGGAAAAAAAUAAAAACAACAAAACAACCAAAGAGGGAAAAAGUCCUAUCAUCCUCAAAGGAAUGUGCAUCAAAUGUGCUCUAACCAAAGUACUGGCUUUUUCUGAUGGAUCAUAUAAAAAUUCAAGGUCCUGAUAAUCUGACAAGCCAGUUUGAUUAUUUGAAUCCCUAACCACUGCUCAAAAGUUGUCUGCCUUGUAUCAGAGGCUUUGUAGCUCUAUUUGUUGCUGAUCAUUUGUUUGUAAUUGGUAUAGCAAGCUCGGGGAGCAGGGAAUGUCAUAAUCCUAUGUCACUGUAUAGCUCCAAGGAGAUUGCUGAUGAAUAACUAUAAUAUACACACACAUAAUGGAUACAGGCAGCAGCCAAACAGGACAAUAAUUGCUGUCUUGGUGGAGCUUAUUAACUUAAAUAAGGCAGAAAGAGAUUUUGUGAAUGGAUGCCACCUUUGUAAUUUCCUGAGGCGGGAAAAAAAAAAAGGCCAAUAUACAGCUUUCAAAAUAUAUGCCCUGAGAGAUGUGCUUCAUGUGACCAGGGAGGAGACAUAAAUAUACGUGUGUCUUUUUUAAAAUGGUGUCUAGUAUUUGCCCCAAGACUGGCCAUA